rnacentral:rRNA from 1 species
GACGAACGCUGGCGGCGUGCUUAACACAUGCCAGUCGAACGGAAAGGCCCUGCUUUUGUGGGGUGCUCGAGUGGCGAACGGGUGAGUAACACGUGAGUAACCUGCCCUUGACUUUGGGAUAACUUCAGGAAACUGGGGCUAAUACCGGAUAGGAGCUCCUGCUGCAUGGUGGGGGUUGGAAAGUUUCGGCGGUUGGGGAUGGACUCGCGGCUUAUCAGCUUGUUGGUGGGGUAGUGGCUUACCAAGGCUUUGACGGGUAGCCGGCCUGAGAGGGUGACCGGCCACAUUGGGACUGAGAUAAGGCCCAGACUCCUACGGGAGGCAGCAGUGGGGAAUAUUGCACAAUGGGCGGAAGCCUGAUGCAGCAACGCCGCGUGCGGGAUGACGGCCCUCGGGUUGUAAACCGCUUUCGCCUGUGACGAAGCGUGAGUGACGGUAAUGGGUAAAGAAGCACCGGCUAACUACGUG